rnacentral:snoRNA from 1 species
GCACUGCCUUUGACCCGGCGGGGUGCCCUGCCCGCGGCGCCGCUGGUCAAGCUGUGGUGCUACAGCAAAGCGCUUGUUCAUAACUGGGGCUGCUCGGCAUCAUCCGGGUGGCGCUUUUAAAAGCAAGCAACAGCU